GCCUUAGUAGCUCAGCGGUAGAGCGGUCGGCUGUUAACCGAUUGGUCGUAGGUUCAAGUCCUACCUGGGGCG
rnacentral:tRNA from 3 species